CCACCUUCUAGCAACAGUUCCUAAUGCAAAUUCAACCCUAGAAUGGAAAGGUCACAAGUUAGUAAAUUUAUUUUGGAUCUUUUGAUUCUUAGCUUUAUGGAAAAUAAAGGCAAGAAUUUAAGUUCCAAAAUUUCCCUGCUUCCACAACUAUUAUGCCUCUCAUCACAAGCACAGAACCUAAAACAUCAUAUCCAGGAGCAGCAAUACAUGACUUGUAUAAAAUGUUCAAUCAAAUGCAGGACGUUGAUUAUAUUGUUGUUUCAUCUGCCCUUGGUCGCUUUGCUGAUGCUGGACUAGAUUCAUUGUCUUUUGAGUUAAGAUCCUCGCCAGUUCUGUUUUCCAGUGCCUUAUGCUUUCUGCUUACACUUUGGGAACUUUCUUCCAGUGCUACACCACCAUCGUUUCUGUCAAACACAUUAUUGGGAUGAUCCAGCUCUGAGACUUCCAAUUUAUUAUUACCAGAUAUGUUUGACUCUGGGAGGGAGGAAUCAUCCAAGGAGGAGGAAGAAGCUUUGGACUUGUCAUCCUCCAUCUUUUUUUGUUUCUCAAACAUCAUUUGAAGAUACCUCCCCUGUUCCUCGAUCCUCAACUGUAAAUUUCUCUGAAUCUCAAGCUGUUCAUGGAGUUGCUUUUGAACCUCCAUCUGCAGUCGCAAUGCUUCAGUGAUCCCCAUGCUCGUUUUCAAGUCUAGAGAUUUCAUUUCCUCAAUGGGACUCGACUUUUUCUCUGAAGUUCCUUCAGAUGACUCUGGUUUAUAUCUGGCUGUUCUGUACUUCUGCAGGUGGCUUUUAACAUGGUAGAUGGUCAAGCCUUCGACAUUCAUAAGCUUUAAAACACCCUUUGGUGUUGCUCGUUCACUUCCACCAAGCUUAUUGACAGCUUCCACAAAAGCCUCAUGAAGUUCUGGUGUCCAGCGCAUUCGGGGUUUUGUUAAGGGUGCAGUACAAGUUGGGUUAGCAGGAUAUGGUUCUCCAUCACAUACAUGUUGAGGCUGAUGAAUUUGGGGUUGAACUGAGAUUUCAGAAGAUGAUUUCAGCACCUUUUGUUUCAUAUCUGUGGCGUUAGCUUCAUUAAGAAGUUCACUCCAAUUUGGUUCCAGAUCAUCAUCAACAGAGAUCAACUGAUCUGCCCACUCCUGCCAAUCUGUUUUCUUAGAAAGAUCCUCAGAUGCAACGACACCAAUAUUACUUUCCACUUGACCAUUUUGGAU
rnacentral:misc_RNA from 1 species